UUCAAGAAUAUAGCAUUUUUAGUUUAUAUUAUUUCUUUAAAUGAAUUUCACUAAAUGAAAAUAGUAAACGCUUUUAGGAGGAAUUGUAACAUGCAAGGAAAAGUAAAAUGGUUUAACAACGAAAAAGGUUUUGGAUUUAUCGAAAUGGAAGGCGCUGACGAUGUAUUCGUACAUUUCUCUGCUAUUCAAGGAGACGGCUACAAAGCUUUAGAAGAAGGUCAAGAAGUAUCUUUCGACAUUACUGAAGGUAACCGUGGACCUCAAGCUGCUAACGUAGUAAAACUUUAAUCCAACAUAUAACAGGAGGUUACCUUACUUGGUAACCUUCUUUG
rnacentral:misc_RNA from 1 species